AGGGGCUAGUGUGUGUGUGUGUGUGUGUGUGUGUGUGUGUGUGUGUGUGCGUGUGUGUGUUUCAGUUGCCCCUUUCUUCUUUUCCCAAUAAGCCGCCACUUGGCGUUUCUUGCUAUAUGCAGACUAUGGGGGUGCAUAGGACCCAAGCACCACUAGGGGGCCCCCUCAAGUAGCAAGUCCAGUCUCAAUUAAAGAUGGAUCAUUUGCAUAUGAAUCAGUUCCAAGGAACGAUUCUUUAAUGCGAACAAACUGACCUGAUUCCAUGUUUCACUUCUCUCUCAUUAGUUCUUUCGUUCUGACAGACUAUUCGCCGUGUUGUUCACUGUUUACUUAUCAGAGUGGUGAAGAGGACUGAGAGCCAGCCAAUCGUAUGCUGAGUCUAGGACACUGUCGUCAAAUUUUAUUCAGUGAGAAACAGGAAUGCAUAACAACCAUUUCCAUGAAAAAAAAAACAUUUCAUUUUGUUCGUAGCUCAUCGUUCCCGUUCAGUCAGACAGUCACCCUUGGCUACAUGUCAAUUUAAUGUCAAGGUGAAUAUACACAUUAUCUAUUGUUGUGUUGUCUAAAAGUACACAUGAUCAUGAAGUUGUCUGUGUAUUUGCCUUGAACUACAGUGUUAUGUUGACCAUUAGUACUAUUGUUUGAGAGCGAGAAGCUGAGAACUGUGCAUUACAUGAUUCACCGCUAAACGACACAACUGAACAAACAAACGAACAAUGUGAAUGAUUCUUCCUGCCGAACUGACCGACGAGAACUGAAUCUCGACAUUGAACUAUGAAAUCCACCUCUGGUCUCAAUAUCUGAGGAGCGAUCCAGUGGAAGUACCUGGAUCGCUGAUUGGUCUCUACUACGCCGCAUUGCUAUGACGAUCAGUACUACUAAGCGAGGAGAGGAGAGGUAAGGUGAGGUGAGGCUAGUUGCGCUGAGCCACCAGUACCAGUCAUUCAUGGCAUGGCAUCAAAAAAAAACAUAUUCAUCUGGUUCAGAAAGAAGAAGAAACAGGAUGAAGAAAAACGCUCACAGGAUAGAGGUAAGUUUUUUUUUUCAUGAUGUUGGGUGGAGGGAAAGCUUUAAUGAUGAUUUUUUUUUUUUUUAGCUAGCUUAAGGGUUUUCUGAAAGGGCUAAAUGUAAAUUGUAUAGGUCACAUGUGAAUGCCUUAAGACUGAUUGACUGAAGUGACCCCUGUCUUAGUGAAUUAUAGCAGGUCCAUUGCGUUAGCCUUACAUUUGGGAGGGAGGGUGUGUUGUUAGGCAGAUGUCUGUCAUGUCUGCUUUAUCCUUGUCCAGUGGGAGCUGCUGUUCCAUCAUAGACCUCCUCUGUUGUUAAAUAUCUGCCACGUAACACUACUUUAGGAUUAUUUUAGUGUGUCCUCAGUUUAUAGGUCUUUAAUGUCAUGUGUGCUAAACAACACUAAUGCAUAUUGGGCCUACUGUGGAUUAUUAUGGACUGUUGUGGUAGUGGGUUAUUGUUAACUCUACUAAGUUUCUUGCAGUCUGUCUUUACCACAUUUAUUAGAAUAUUUAUUGACAAUAUAAUUUAAACAAAUUUGCCUACAUUCCUGCAGUUUAGUUAUGUUUUUGAUAUAUUUCUUUGUCAAAUUAUAGAAAAUUUAAAGUAAACUGUACUAUAUAUAUGUUAGUUCUGCCCACAGAAUAUAGAAUAUAGGUUAAGACCAUAUCACCAGUUAGGCACAAGUAGUCUACUGUAUAAUACCCUGCAAAAUAUACACAAACAUAUUCCUUCAGUAUCACAUAGUGCUCAUCGGUCAUUUAUCUCUGUUUUAUAACUCUAACAAAUAAAAUGUGUCGUAAACUGCUUAAAAGUGACAACUUUGAAAUUGGGUGCAUGCUUUAGUUUAAAGGGACACUGUACUGUAUGUUGCAAAGUUUAAUAUAAAAACAGAUUAUGAAUUUCUGCAUUAGUGUAACAUAACUCAAUUAUAUAGUAUGAAUAUUUGCCAAGCAUCUUUUUUUGCUUGGUAACGUGGGAGUUUUGUCUUUGCAGGAGUAAUUAUGAAAUAUUUUGGAGAUGCGGUACAGGUAGCAGCACAGCUGCCUUCAGCACCACCGGACCAGGAUUUUUAAGUUUUAAAAUGUUUUUACAAUUUAAAAUAAACAUUUUUGAGGAACACUGUAUCAAUUUUACAUGACUUAGACAACUUUAUUACUCUUUAUUACUCAGACUCUACCCUGUUUUCCUCUUAAAAUGUAAUAGAUUGUUGCAUUGUUGUGGAGCACCUAAAAAAUUUACACUAAUUUAGUUGUGCGCAUUAGUCAUGAUAACUUCUAAUUCAUUGUCAGUAUGACUACAAACAGUUGUGAUAAUUAAAAUGUUUAUUGUUCAGAAUUUUGUGUUCAUGUCUUCUCAUCUAGUGAAAAGUUUUCAAACUAAGAAACAAGAUCCAAUUGAAAUUUAAGAAUGUCAGUCAAAAGGAUGUAUAGAUAAUCGCUUCUGUCAUUGGCUGACAUAGGCAGGUUCAACUAACGUUUGGCACAUAAUUAUUAUAUAAUUAUAAUUUAUAUUAUAAUAAAUGUUUAGCCUUUUAUUUGCAUUAGUCACCAGAAGCAACCAGAUGGACAUGCUUCUUCAUUAAUGUCUUUUUGCCGUUUCUUGAUAUCGCUGAUAUCCCGUAAACUUGUGUGUAAUUGCGGUGCCGCGCAUGACCCCGCCUCCCUGUCUGCAGAGUGAGGCCGAGCUGAUUCUGUCCCGGGCAGGUGAGCUCAAUGUAACGGAAAAACCAACAGCUGCUGCACAGAGACACUCUCCUUUCUCCUCAGGAAAAAAACUGGUGCCUGCUCCACAGUUUGUCAUUAAGGUUGAUAUCAUACGGACUUGUGGCUUCUACAGGAUCAUAUACCAUUGUUUCACAAUCUCAUAACUCUUGCCCACAGACAUGGAGGACAGCAUGACUAGGGAAAUGAAUGUCGGCAUUGUCCUAGUAAAAGAAGGAGAGGAUCAUCUUGACAUAUCAGUGGUCCUGGAGGAACAGAUCGUUCUGCAUGGCAUCAAGGACUACUCGCAUGUGGUACCUAUGUUAUUGGGUCUGCUUUAUGCACUUAACAUUGGCUACCCGAAGGAGUUGCAAUAUAUCAUCAAAGUCAUUCAGAAGGUUCUCAUGAACAUCGGCGGUGAGCACUGCUCUGCAAGGGUACAUGGACUGAGGAACAAAAUUCUUUGUAAAACUGUGUAGACACUACACUACACUCUGUUCUACUAUUGUAAUUGUAAUAAAACUUUAGUCAUAACCUUUUUGUCUACAAGGGUUUGAGGUCUUUCCUGGGAAGUCUUUUUGACCUGUUUGGGUGUGCAUAAUUUUAUUUUAUAUUUUUUUCAUGUUAUGAAAGACAGCAACAGAAGUAAUGAGUAGAGAGUACUCAUUUGUGCACAUUCUAAAGAGGAGAUGUUUUACCCAUUAGCUUGUGCUGUUUUUGGGAACAGAACUUUUUGUACUUGAUGGGAUAUGUUGAUGUGUUUACCUUGCCUAUCUGGUUUAUUAAAGCUUGGAAGAACUGGAA